AACGAACGCUGGCGGCAUGCCUAACACAUGCAAGUCGAACGAAACCUUCGGGUCUAGUGGCGCACGGUUGCGUAACGCGUGGGAACCUGCCCUUAGGUUCGGAAUAACUCCCCGAAAGGGGUGCUAAUACCGGAUAAUGUCUUCGGACCAAAGAUUUAUCGCCUUUGGAUGGGCCCGCGUUGGAUUAGCUAGUUGGUAGGGUAAAAGCCUACCAAGGCGACGAUCCAUAGCUGGUCUGAGAGGAUGAUCAGCCACACUGGGACUGAGACACGGCCCAGAAUCCUACGGGAGGCAGCAGUGGGGAAUAUUGGACAAUGGGCGAAAGGCUGAUCCAGCAAUGCCGCGUGAGUGAUGAAGGCCUUAGGGUUGUAAAGCUCUUUUACCCGGGAUGAUAAUGACAGUACCGGGAGAAUAAGCUCCGGCUAACUCCGUG
rnacentral:rRNA from 1 species